AGACUCUCAAGAUUUCUAGCCCUGAAGUUACAAAAUUAACACAAGACGAGUAGUUAAUCCAAGGGUAAUUUACUGCUGGUGAGGAGGAGUUUCUUGGAAUUUGAGUUUAGAACAUGGAAAAGAAAGUACAUGAAAUGGUGGAAGUGAGGUUGAUGAGGAUGAUACAAACCUGAUGCUAUCAAUUCUGAAAAUGUCACAAUUAAAGUUUCGAUGUCUCUGAUAGAGGAUCACUUGUUCUAUUUCUGACAGGGAUGGGUCCUUAUCAAAUUUUUAAAAAAGAUGUUGAUGAAAGAUCAAACAGGAUACAUUGACAAGAAUACUAACAGUCUGUGAGGAGAGCAGCUGCCCUUUGCCCAGUAGACUAUCUUUUGCCUCAGGUUUGGUACACACACGAUUGUGGAGGAAUUAUUCCAAAAGGAUCAUCAUGAUCAAAAUGCAAACAGACUCGGGUAAACUGUUUCUUAAGCAACCAUAAGCAAACUAAUCUAUAAAAUCAAAUAUUUGAUUUUCAAUCCAUUUGGUAUCUGUUCAAUUUUCAAAGGCACAGUAUUAAUAAUUGAUUAA